rnacentral:tRNA from 1 species
UCGCGCGCGGCCAGGGCGCAUGGCGCCGCGUCGUCGUCGCCGCCGCACAGGCGGGGAUUCCCGCCCCGGCGUUCAGCUCAUCGCUCGCGUAC